rnacentral:lncRNA from 1 species
CGAGUAUUUGUACGAGAUCUAAAUACGGAGGCCCUAAGUAUGGUAUAAACAAAAUUGUUUACUGCAACAUUCUGUUAUUAACAUUUUGUGUUUUCAUUCUGAGGUCAUAUUCUUCAUUUGUAUGAAUUUUGUAUUUCUAAAUGAAAUAUGUAUGUUUUUGUUUUUAAAAAUAAAUGAAUAAGAACUAAUUGAUCAUUACUCCAUUAAUAGCAAUAUUUGAAAU